rnacentral:rRNA from 1 species
GAAAUGAGAGAGCGGCGUACGGGUGCGGAACACGUGUGCAACCUGCCUUUAUCUGGGGGAUAGCCUUUCGAAAGGAAGAUUAAUACCCCAUAAUAUAAGAAACGGCAUCGUUUUUUAUUGAAAACUCCGGUGGAUAGAGAUGGGCACGCGCAAGAUUAGAUAGUUGGUGAGGUAACGGCUCACCAAGUCUACGAUCUUUAGGGGGCCUGAGAGGGUGAUCCCCCACACUGGUACUGAGACACGGACCAGACUCCUACGGGAGGCAGCAGUGAGGAAUAUUGGACAAUGGGUGAGAGCCUGAUCCAGCCAUCCCGCGUGAAGGACGACGGCCCUAUGGGUUGUAAACUUCUUUUGUAUAGGGAUAAACCUAGAUACGUGUAUCUAGCUGAAGGUACUAUACGAAUAAGCACCGGCUAACUCCGUGCCAGCAGCCGCGGUAAUACGGAGGGUGCAAGCGUUAUCCGGAUUUAUUGGGUUUAAAGGGUCCGUAGGCGGAUCUGUAAGUCAGUGGUGAAAUCUCACAGCUUAACUGUGAAACUGCCAUUGAUACUGCAGGUCUUGAGUGUUGUUGAAGUAGCUGGAAUAAGUAGUGUAGCGGUGAAAUGCAUAGAUAUUACUUAGAACACCAAUUGCGAAGGCAGGUUACUAAGCAACAACUGACGCUGAUGGACGAAAGCGUGGGGAGCGAACAGGAUUAGAUACCCUGGUAGUCCACGCCGUAAACGAUGCUAACUCGUUUUUGGAUUUUCGGAUUCAGAGACUAAGCGAAAGUGAUAAGUUAGCCACCUGGGGAGUACGUUCGCAAGAAUGAAACUCAAAGGAAUUGACGGGGGCCCGCACAAGCGGUGGAUUAUGUGGUUUAAUUCGAUGAUACGCGAGGNAACCUUACCAAGGCUUAAAUGGGAAAUGACAGGUUUAGAAAUAGACUUUUCUUCGGACANUUUUUCAAGGUGCUGCAUGGUUGUCGUCAGCUCGUGCCGUGAGGUGUUAGGUUAAGUCCUGCAACGAGCGCAACCCCUGUCACUAGUUGCCAUCAUUAAGUUGGGGACUCUAGUGAGACUGCCUACGCAAGUAGAGAGGAAGGUGGGGAUGACGUCAAAUCAUCACGGCCCUUACGCCUUGGGCCACACACGUAAUACAAUGGCCAGUACAGAGGGCAGCUACACAGCGAUGUGAUGCAAAUCUCGAAAGCUGGUCUCAGUUCGGAUUGGAGUCUGCAACUCGACUCUAUGAAGCUGGAAUCGCUAGUAAUCGCGCAUCAGCCAUGGCGCGGUGAAUACGUUCCCGGGCCUUGUACACACCGCCCGUCAAGCCAUGGAAGUCUGGGGUACCNGAAGUCGGUGACCGUA